CAGAAGAGGAAUCAGUCAGGAGCUAUUAAUUUAAUUGAUCAGUUUAAUUGAUACGCUUUUAUGAAGAAGUGGGUUUUUAACGAUUUUUUGAAGGAGUGGAGACUGGGCGAGCAUCUAACGGAGGAGGGAAACGAGUUCCACAGGAAUGGUGCAGCCCUCGAGAAAUCUUGAAGGCGAGCAUCAGAGGUGGGAGUACGGACAGAAGAUAGAUGUAAGUCUUCAGCAG